rnacentral:lncRNA from 1 species
UUCCUGAAUAUAUCACAUGUGGUGAUAAACAUGAAGAUGUAUGAAAAAUUGUGUUCGUUGAGAGAAAAUGGAAGGCUUUUCAUUCUACUUCCACAUUUUCAUUCCAGCAGCUUUUCUGUUUUGGAAGAUGAGUACUGAAUCUUGCAAUGAAAUUUUUUUAACUUAAACAAGACAAGGAAAAUGAAGCGCAGAGACGUUAAAUAACUCUCUCAAGGUCAUGCAGCUGAGAAGAGAUGAGACUUGAACUCCAGUGCCAGCCCUGUUAAUCACUAUUCUGUACUGUCUUUCAGAUGGAAUGAUAGGGUAUGCAUAAAUGUUCAUGUGGGCUCUGGAGUAUACCAGGAACUGAAGUAAGGUACAUGGACGUCUUGAAUAUUGUAACUGAGAUGGGCAAGCCUACACCUUUGCAAAUAAAGGAGGAUUGGGAAAGAUUAAGAUCCUGUUAAACGUCAGUGUUACUAUUUAGCCUUUGAUAUCUCCAGUAAAGGCAACUUCUUUCUGGACCCAGAAAUAAAGCUUUACAUUAGCAGCUUCCAUAACACCAAUAACAUGAAUGACCAUCUACUGAGCAAUUGCAGUGCACCAGGAUUAUGGCUUAUGAGCACUUUAUGUUUAUUAUCUCACAACUCACUGAGUUAGAUACUCUCCACAACCCAGUGAGCCUCUCAAGCACUGUGAAAAAUCACUUUCUCUUGUUGUAUUCUUGGAGCCCCUGCUAAUUCAUUAUUGAAAAAUACCUGCUGCCUGCAUUUGGCCUUAUGUUGUCAUUUACUUGGGUCUGUGCAUGGCGUUUAGAAGGCUACACCUUAGGCUGGGGGUCAAGAAUGUCUUCCCUGAUGUGAGGUUUACACAGAGAUCUGAAGAAUGAAGAGUCCAGCUAAGUACUUCCUAAGCGUGGCUACUCCAAUGAAGCUUUAGUAUAUGUACUGAAAGAAGAUCCUCUCAUACUGCCACAGCCAAGAGAUAAGGUUGUAAAUCUUUAUUGGGAGAAGCCGUCAAGGACAGUUCUGUGAAAUGAAAGGAUCUCUGGAUCACCACAAAGUCUGGCUCAGUGACUAUGGCUUUGCAAACACUAAACAUUCCUGUCUCAAGUCCUGUAGAUGGCUUGAAAUAGUAUACAUAAGCAUGCCUUAUAAACAUCUUCAGUCUUUAUCAACUCUUUGGAGAUUCAGCCAUUCUUUUUUGUACUUUAGGGAAUUAAAUCAUUUUAUAAUGUAUAAAUCUGAGCAUGGCCGAUGGCAGAAGAAAUUUUGUCAUACGUUUUUAAAGAAAUAAAAAUGUAUUAUGUUUUAAAAUUC